GCCCUCGUCGAUCAAUGGAGAUCACCCACGCUCACUACAUGGUGCUCAGACGUGUACGGUGGGUAGAGGGGGUUCGAAUCCCCCCGAGGGCG